GGUAUGUAAUGGGCAUUCAGUAAUAUAAACUUAUUUCUAUUUGAUUGUAAAAAACAUUUUUCUCUGAAUCACUGAUUAAAUAGAGCCAAAAGUGUAAAUACCGAAUAGUUUCUCUAGGGUGAGAAACUGAAAGUGUAAAUAAGGAUUAAAAUGAUUAAAAUGAAUGAUUGAUAAUUUGAAAUAGGAAAAGUCCAAAGGUGUAGGGGUGGUGGGAGGGGAAGGGGAAAGGGAAGAAGGGAAAGGAAAAAUUAUGAGAAAAGAAAAAAAAGGAAAUCUAUGUAAAUAGGGAAGGGUGGAGGGGGUGAAGGGUGCACAAGUAAUGGGGAAAAAAAAUAAGAACCAAGAUACAUCAUGUACAGGUACAAGCACCCAAUGAUAAAUGUAAAUGUAUUUUAUACCUAAAAUGUAGCAAUAAAAGAAUUAAAAGAAAAUUUUUUUGAAACUAAACUGAUGAUAGCCUUAAUCGCCUCCAUUAUAGUAAAGUCUUGGUAAAAUCUUAGAACUUUCUGACCCUUAAGAUAAAAAAUCCCCAAGUUGAUUCUUAUUUAUAGGUUCUUGAGAAAAAGCUAGUGUUCCUUAUGAGGGUCAAUAUUAUUUAAAUUUUCUGUCUUGUAUAACAGCUUAGAAUUAAUGAUGUCAUAAUAAAAGGAAAGAAGAUAAUUUCCCCUCACAGAAAGUUUUCUUGUUGCUUGGCAAGAACAAGGCACUUCUAAUAACCAAUCAGUCUCAAGAAUAGUGCUGUGGUACCCAAACUGAAAAUGUGGAUUUUUGCUGAAGUAGUAUGUUACAGACAAGGAUGGGAGAGAGACGGUUGUUUCCAGUGAUAGUCCAAAAGGGAUUAAUCCUGUCAUCUCCUUCUUCUACCAAGUCAGAUGAAGAGUCAAAUAUGGAAUGCCAAUGCAAAAUUCUGGAAUAUUCAUCUUAUAUGCUUGAAUGGAUCUACUAGCAUCAGGAAUCCCCUAAAUUUCGUAAGUAGACUUGAUAUUAACUCAAGUUUUCUGUUUUCUAAGAAAAAGACAAAUGUGGGCAAAACUGCUAAACCAAAACGACUUUUUUUUUUAAAAAUGUGACUUUUAAAGGAGAGAAAAUUCAUAAUGCAAAUAAUAUUUACUUUUUAAUUUUUACAGAGCACUGGUAUUAAAACAUUAGUAUUUAUUGACAUCAAAAUUUCUAUGCUGUUUAGAAUCUGAAAUCAUU
rnacentral:lncRNA from 1 species